GAUGAACGCUAGCUACAGGCUUAACACAUGCAAGUCGAGGGGAAACGGCAUCGAAAGCUUGCUUUUGAUGGGCGUCGACCGGCGCACGGGUGAGUAACGCGUAUCCAACCUGCCCAUCACUUGGGAAUAACCUUGCGAAAGUAAGACUAAUGCCCAAUGACAUCCCACGAAGGCAUCCGAAUGGGAUUAAAGAUUUAUCGGUGAUGGAUGGGGAUGCGUCUGAUUAGCUUGUUGGCGGGGUGACGGCCCACCAAGGCAACGAUCAGUAGGGGUUCUGAGAGGAAGGGCCCCCACAUUGGAACUGGGACACGGUCCAAACUCCUACGGGAGGCAGCAGCGAGGAAUAUUGGUCAAUGGGCGAGAGCCUGAACCAGCCAAGUAGCGUGCAGGAUGACGGCCCUAUGGGUUGUAAACUGCUUUUAUAAGGGAAUAAAGUGGGUCACGUGUGACUUUUUGCAUGUACCUUAUGAAUAAGGACCGGCUAAUUCCGU
rnacentral:rRNA from 1 species